rnacentral:rRNA from 1 species
GGAUGCGAUCAUACCAGCACUAAAGCACCGGAUCCUAUCAGAACUCCGAAGUUAAGCGUGCUUGGACGAGAGUAGUACUAGGAUGGGUGACCUCCUGGGAAGUCCUCGUGUUGCAUUCC